rnacentral:lncRNA from 10 species
GGUAACAUGAGUGAUGAGGAGUGGCUGCAAAUACAGAUGAAGCUUCGUUUGCUCACUUCCUGUUGUGUGGCCCAGACAGGGCACUGUCUGUGGCCCCAGGGGUUGAGGACCCCUGGCUUUAACAACAGAAAGGUACCAUCUUACAGUUCUGGAGGCCAAAGUCUGAUAUCCAGGGAGGGAAUUGGGAUCUGAAGACGUUGCAUUCGAGGUCUCGGGGCUCCUGAUGAGCAGCCUCGGCCUGACCUGGGGCAGGUGUGAUGUCUGCGGCUCACCAUCUCCACCCUGCCUGCUGUGGAAUCUCCACAACGACAGGUGCUUUGGAGGCCAGAGUGCAUGCGUACGGGCCCUGCACACGCUGAAUGUCACUGGGAACAAGGACACACCCCGCUUCCAGGAGAAGAUAGAACAUGUCGACCCCUUUUAGCCAUCCCCAGUGCAGGACAUGCUAUUGACUUCCAUGAGACAAACACCUACUUGGAAAUCAGGUUUUUUCUGUACCUUUUGAAGGAGCAGGAAUUUCCCAGCAUUUCCUGGACAAAGACGGAGGCCACAUUCGCUGCAUCCUUUCCAGCAAGAUGUCAUUCUGAGAUUUUUGUCAUUCCUGGGCGUUAUGAGGACUGCCAAGGGACACAAUUCCAUGGGAGGAAAGUUUUCUUCUAAGCUGCAAGCCAGCUCUGGCUUCUGGAGUUUCUCCUUAGGAUUGCAAGACAGUAGUUCCCUGUCCUUUAGGUCUUCUCCAGAAAUACCUUAAAAUAGCAAAUAAAAUAAGAUAUAAGCAAACAAAACCUGAAGUUAAC